CCUACGGGAGGCAGCAGUAGGGAAUAUUGCUCAAUGGGGGAAACCCUGAAGCAGCAACGCCGCGUGGAGGAUGAAGGUUUUCGGAUUGUAAACUCCUUUUGUUAGAGAAGAUAAUGACGGUAUCUAACGAAUAAGCACCGGCUAACUCCGUGCCAGCAGCCGCGGUAAUACGGAGGGUGCAAGCGUUACUCGGAAUCACUGGGCGUAAAGAGCGCGUAGGCGGGUUAGCAAGUCAGAUGUGAAAUCCUAUGGCUUAACCAUAGAACUGCAUUUGAAACUGUUAUUCUAGAGUAUGGGAGAGGUAGGUGGAAUUCUUGGUGUAGGGGUGAAAUGCGUAGAGAUCAAGAAGAAUACUCAUUGCGAAGGCGACCUGCUAGAACAUAACUGACGCUGAUGCGCGAAAGCGUGGGGAGCAAACAGGAUUAGAUACCCCAGUAGUC
rnacentral:rRNA from 1 species